UGUCUUUAUGGCAAAUGUGAGAUGCAGUGUAUGGAAUGUCAAAUUUCUAGUAUGAGAAAUUAACGAUUUAAGUCCUUCUUAAAUGAGGCCAUUUACCCAAAGAGGGUGCCAGGCCCGUAUAACGUUAAUGAUUACUAGAUGACAUUUCCAAAGAGUCGUGUUGCUUGAUAGUGCAGCACUAAGUGGGUGGUAAACUCCAUCUAAAACUAAAUAUAACCAUGAGACCGAUAGUAAACAAGUACCGUGAGGGAAAGUUGAAAAGAACUCUGAAUAGAGAGUUAAAUAGUACGUGAAACUGCUUAGAGGUUAAGCCCGAUGAACCUGAAUAUCCAUUAUGGAAAAUUCAUCAUUAUGAUUUUAAUAUUUAUAAUAUUAUAAUAAUGGUGUGCAUUUUUUCCAUAUAAGGACAUUGUAAUCUAUUAACAAACAAAUUUAUCAUAAGGUCAUUGCUUUAGUUUAUUCAAAUUAUAUUGCUUGCAAUUUAACAUAGAAUAAAUGCUUUUGAUUUGAUAAAGUGUUGAUAGAUUUAUUAUAUAUAGUGCUUGAAUAUAUUUAUAUAUUCUAUAAUAGCGUAUUGAUCAAUGAUUUGUAUGUUCAUUAUAUGCACUUAUAUGAUUAACAAUGCGAAAGAUUCAGGAUACCUUCGGGACCCGUCUUGAAACACGGACCAAGGAGUCUAACAUAUUUGCAAGUUAUUGGGAAUUAAAAACCUAAUAGCAAAAUUAACAUAACUUAUAUAAUGGGAUUAGUUUUUAGUUCUAUUUUAUAGACUAUUAAUUCAAUCCCGGGGCGUUCUAUACAGUUAUGCAUAAUAAUAUUUAUAUUAUUUAUGCCUCUAACUAGAGCGUACCUUGAGCAUAUAUGCUGUGACCCGAAAGAUGGUGAACUAUACUUGAUCAGGUUGAAGUCAGGGGAAACCCUGAUGGAAGACCGAAACAGUUCUGACGUGCAAAUCGAUGUCAGAAUUGAGU
rnacentral:rRNA from 1 species